UUGCAGAUCUUCAAUCCAGAGUAACAGCAAGUGAAGAUAAGAGCAAAGUGUUGGAGGCCAGAAUGAACGCCAGUGACAACGAGAUGGAGGAGCUCAAGAGACAGAAUGCAGUGUUGGAGUCCAGAAUGACCACCAGUGAAAACGAGGUGGAGGAGCUCA